AAAAUCAAGGCUGAGGCGUGAUGACGAGGCACUACGGUGCUGAAGCAACAAAUGCCCUGCUUCCAGGAAAAGCCUCUAAGCAUCAGGUAACAUCAAAUCGUACCCCAAACCGACACAGGUGGUCAGGUAGAGAAUACCAAGGCGCUUGAGAGAACUCGGGUGAAGGAACUAGGCAAAAUGGUGCCGUAACUUCGGGAGAAGGCACGCUGAUAUGUAGGUGAAGCGACUUGCUCGUGGAGCUGAAAUCAGUCGAAGAUACCAGCUGGCUGCAACUGUUUAUUAAAAACACAGCACUGUGCAAACACGAAAGUGGACGUAUACGGUGUGACGCCUGCCCGGUGCCGGAAGGUUAAUUGAUGGGGUUAGCGCAAGCGAAGCUCUUGAUCGAAGCCCCGGUAAACGGCGGCCGUAACUAUAACGGUCCUAAGGUAGCGAAAUUCCUUGUCGGGUAAGUUCCGACCUGCACGAAUGGCGUAAUGAUGGCCAGGCUGUCUCCACCCGAGACUCAGUGAAAUUGAACUCGCUGUGAAGAUGCAGUGUACCCGCGGCAAGACGGAAAGACCCCGUGAACCUUUACUAUAGCUUGACACUGAACAUUGAGCCUUGAUGUGUAGGAUAGGUGGGAGGCUUAGAAGUGUGGACGCCAGUCUGCAUGGAGCCGACCUUGAAAUACCACCCUUUAAUGUUUGAUGUUCUAACGUUGACCCGUAAUCCGGGUUGCGGACAGUGUCUGGUGGGUAGUUUGACUGGGGCGGUCUCCUCCUAAAGAGUAACGGAGGAGCACGAAGGUUGGCUAAUCCUGGUCGGACAUCAGGAGGUUAGUGCAAUGGCAUAAGCCAGCUUGACUGCGAGCGUGACGGCGCGAGCAGGUGCGAAAGCAGGUCAUAGUGAUCCGGUGGUUCUGAAUGGAAGGGCCAUCGCUCAACGGAUAAAAGGUACUCCGGGGAUAACAGGCUGAUACCGCCCAAGAGUUCAUAUCGACGGCGGUGUUUGGCACCUCGAUGUCGGCUCAUCACAUCCUGGGGCUGAAGUAGGUCCCAAGGGUAUGGCUGUUCGCCAUUUAAAGUGGUACGCGAGCUGGGUUUAGAACGUCGUGAGACAGUUCGGUCCCUAUCUGCCGUGGGCGCUGGAGAACUGAGGGGGGCUGCUCCUAGUACGAGAGGACCGGAGUGGACGCAUCACUGGUGUUCGGGUUGUCAUGCCAAUGGCACUGCCCGGUAGCUAAAUGCGGAAGAGAUAAGUGCUGAAAGCAUCUAAGCACGAAACUUGCCCCGAGAUGAGUUCUCCCUGACUCCUUGAGAGUCCUGAAGGAACGUUGAAGACGACGACGUUGAUAGGCCGGGUGUGUAAGCGCAGCGAUGCGUUGAGCUAACCGGUACUAAUGAACCGUGAGG
rnacentral:rRNA from 1 species